rnacentral:rRNA from 1 species
ACGCUGGCGGCGUGCUUAACACAUGCAAGUCGAGCGGGGAUUUGGGGCUUCGGCUCCGGAUUCUAGCGGCGGACGGGUGAGUAACGCGUGAACAAUCUGUCCCAGACAGGGGGAUAACACUUGGAAACAGGUGCUAAUACCGCAUAAGACCACGGGCUCGCAUGAGCUUGAGGUAAAAGGAGCAAUCCGGUUUGGGGUGAGUUCGCGUCCGAUUAGCUAGUUGGUGAGGUAACGGCCCACCAAGGCGACGAUCAGUAGCCGGGCUGAGAGGCUCUGCGGCCACAUUGGGACUGAGAUACGGCCCAGACUCCUACGGGAGGCAGCAGUGGGGAAUAUUGGGCAAUGGGGGAAACCCUGACCCAGCAACGCCGCGUGAAGGAAGAAGGUCUUCGGAUCGUAAACUUCUGUUCUUGGUGAAGAGAAGAAGACGGUAGCCAAGGAGGAAGCCCCGGCUAACUACGUG